rnacentral:piRNA from 1 species
UGAUUGGCCAAACCCUUGGGAGACACUCUU